rnacentral:pre_miRNA from 1 species
GAUUUCAACUGAAAAAGUCAUCAACAACAAAGUUGUAAAACUCAUCAAUAUAUAUAACUUUUAUUUUGGUCAUUUCUUCAUCCGAUAAAGCGACAGUAAUAUUGUUCACAAAAUGUAGAUACUAGAUAUCUAUAUUUUGUGAACAAUGUUACAAAUCACUUUGUCGGAUGAAUAAAUGACCAAAAUAAAAAUUGUAGAUCUCGAUGGAUUAUACAACUUUGUUGUUGAUGACGUUUUCAGUUGAAGUC